rnacentral:rRNA from 1 species
CGUUUGACCCUAUUUUGUUGGUUUCUAGGAUCGACGUAAUGAUUAAUAGGGAUAGUUGGGGGCAUUAGUAUUCAAUUGUCAGAGGUGAAAUUCUUGGAUUUAUUGAAGACUAACUACUGCGAAAGCAUUUGCCAAGGAUGUUUUCAUUAAUCAAGAACGAAAGUUAGGGGAUCGAAGACGAUCAGAUACCGUCGUAGUCUUAACCAUAAACUAUGCCGACUAGGGAUCGGAUGAUGUUAAUUUUUUAAUGACUCAUUCGGCGCCUUACGGGAAACCAAAGUGUUUGGGUUCCGGGGGGAGUAUGGUCGCAAGGCUGAAACUUAAAGGAAUUGACGGAAGGGCACCACCAGGGGUGGAGCCUGCGGCUUAAUUUGACUCAACACGGGAAAC